rnacentral:rRNA from 1 species
GGCUCAGGACGAACGCUGGCGGCGCGCCUAAUACAUGCAAGUCGAGCGAGAAGGUGUAGCAAUACACUUGUAAAGCGGCGAACGGGUGAGGAAUGCAUGGGUAACCUACCCUCGAGUGGGGAAUAACUAGCCGAAAGGUUAGCUAAUACCGCAUACGUUUCCGGAACUUCGGUUUCGGAAAGAAAGCAAUACCGUGGGUAUUGCGCUCCUGGAUGGGCUCAUGUCCUAUCAGCUUGUUGGUGAGGUAACGGCUCACCAAGGCUUCGACGGGUAGCUGGUCUGAGAGGACGAUCAGCCACACUGGCACUGCGACACGGGCCAGACUCCUACGGGAGGCAGCAGUAAGGAAUAUUGCGCAAUGGACGAAAGUCUGACGCAGCGACGCCGCGUGGGGGAUGAAGGUCUUCGGAUUGUAAACCCCUUUCGGGAGGGAAGAUGGAGUGGGUAACCACUUGGACGGUACCUCCAGAAGCAGCCACGGCUAACUUCGUGCCAGCAGCCGCGGUAAUACGAAGGUGGCAAGCGUUGUUCGGAUUCACUGGGCGUACAGGGAGCGUAGGCGGUUGGGUAAGCCCUCCGUGAAAUCUCCGGGCCUAACCCGGAAAGUGCAGAGGGGACUGCUCAGCUAGAGGAUGGGAGAGGAGCGCGGAAUUCCCGGUGUAGCGGUGAAAUGCGUAGAGA